GCAAAGACAGCCAGGAUGUUGGCUUAGAAGCAGCCACCAUUUAAAGAGUGCGUAAUAGCUCACUGGUCGAGGGUUUCGGCGCCGAUAAUGAUCGGGAAUAAGCAAUGUACCGAAGCUGCGGGCUGCGUAAGCAGCGGUAGGAGAGCGUUCCUGUCAGCAGAGAAGGCGUCCCGAAAGGGUCGCUGGAGCGUCAGGAAGUGAAUAUGCCGGGUUGAGUAACGAUAAAGCAGGUGAAAAUCCUGCUCGCCGAAAAUCUAAGGUUUCCUGGGGAAGGUAAAUCCGCCCAGGGUCAGCCGGGACCUAAGGUGAGGCCGAAAGGCGUAGCCGAUGGACGGCAGGUUAAUAUUCCUGCGCUACUGUGGAGAUCAAUCAUGAGUGCGGAUCGGUCAGCCCUGCGUAAGCACCAGCUUGCUGAGGCCCUUGAGGCCGCUGCAGGGGGCUCUGGUCCCGAGAAAAGCUCAUGUGGCAAAGCAGUACCCGUACCAAAACCGACACAGGUAGAUGAGGUGAAUAACCUAAGGCGCUCGAGAUAACGGAAGUGAAGGAAUUAGGCAAAUUGACCCCGUAAGUUCGCGAUAAGGGGGCCCUACCCCUCGGGGAGGGCGCAGAGAAAAGGCUCUGGCGACUGUUUAUCAAAAACACAGCACUGUGCUAACUCGCAAGAGGACGUAUACAGUGUGACGCCUGCCCAAUGCCGGAAUGUCACGGAAGCGGGUUAGCUUCGGCGAAGCUCGUAACCUAAGCACCGGUCAAUGGCGGCCGUAACUAUGACGGUCCUAAGGUAGCGAAGUUCCUUGUCGGGUAAGUUCCGACGCGCAUGAAUGGCGUAACGACUGGAGCACUGUCUCCACUUCCGACUCGGUGAAAUAGUAGUGGCGGUGAAGAUGCCGCCUACCCGCGACAAGACGGAAAGACCCCAUGAACCUUUACUAUAGGCUUUUAUUGCACAUGAGUUUGUAUUGCGUAGGAUAGGUGGGAGGCUUUGAAGCGGCCGUUCUGGCGGUCGUGGAGCCAUCCUUGAAAUACCACCCUUUACCUAUUCGUGUGCUAACCCCGAUUCCCGUGAAGCCGGGCGGGGGACAGUGAGUGCUGGGUAGUUUGACUGGGGCGGUCUCCUCCGAAAGAGUAACGGAGGAGCGCAAAGGUUGGUUCAGCGCGGAUGGAAACCGCGUGUUGAGUGUAAGAGCACAAGCCAGCUUUACUGCGAGAGCGACGGCUCGAGCAGUCUCGAAAGAGGGCUCUAGUGAUCCUGCGAUCCCGUGUGGAAGGGUCGUAGCUCAUCGGAUAAAAGGUACUCUGGGGAUAACAGGCUGAUCGCUCCCGAGCGUCCAUAGCGGCGGAGCGGUUUGGCACCUCGAUGUCGGCUCAUCGCAUCCUGGGGCUGAAGGCGGUCCCAAGGGUUAGGCUGUUCGCCUAUUAAAGCGGUACGCGAGCUGGGUUCAGACCGGCGUGAGCCAGGUCGGUCCCUAUCUGUCGUGGGCGCUGCACAUUUGAGAGGAGUCUUCCUUAGUACGAGAGGAUUAGGAAGGACGAACCCCUGGUGAUCCAGCUGUCGCGCUAGCGGCACCGCUGGGUAGCUAAGUUCGGCAGGGAUAACCGCUGAAAGCAUCUAAGCGGGAAGCCCCCCUCAAGAUGAGAUGUGCUUGCUAUACGCGUGAGACCCCUGGAAGACCACCAGGUUGAUAGGCUGCAUGUGUAAGGGGUGAGAGUCCCUCAGCUAAGCAGUACUAACGGUCGAACGCUU
rnacentral:rRNA from 1 species